GACGAACGCUGGCGGCGUGCUUAACACAUGCAAGUCGAGCGGUAAGGCCCUUUCGGGGGUACACGAGCGGCGAACGGGUGAGUAACACGUGGGCGACCUACCCUCAGCUUCGGGAUAAGCCUGGGAAACUGGGUCUAAUACCGGAUAUGACCUUCCCUCGCAUGGGGGGUUGGUGGAAAGUUUUUUCGGCUGGGGAUGGGCCCGCGGCCUAUCAGCUUGUUGGGUGGGGUGAUGGCCUACCAAGGCGACGACGGGGUAGCCGGCCUGAGAGGGCGACCGGCCACACUGGGACUGAGAUACGGCCCAGACUCCCACGGGAGGCAGCAGUGGGGGAAUAUUGCGCAAUGGGCGGAAGCCUGACGCAGCGACGCCGCGUGGGGGAUG
rnacentral:rRNA from 1 species